UACGUAGGGACCGAGCGUUGUCCGGAAUCAUUGGGCGUAAAGCGCGCGUAGGCGGCUAUCCACGUCGGAUGUGAAAGCUCAGGGCUCAACCCUGAGAGGCCAUUCGAUACGGGAUAGCUAGAGGCAGCUAGGGGAAGGUGGAAUUCCUGGUGUAGCGGUGAAAUGCGCAGAUAUCAGGAGGAACACCGGUGGCGAAGGCGGUGGUCUAGGCCGGCACUGACGCUGAGGAGCGAAAGCCAGGGGAGCAAACGGGAUUAGAUACCCUUGUAGU
rnacentral:rRNA from 1 species